rnacentral:lncRNA from 1 species
GUUAAAUUGUGAUUUUAAUGAAUGGAGCGAAUUUGGAGCAGCAGUUCUUUUCCUGUGAGCUUUGAGGGGUUUUUAGCGGAAGUGGUUGGAAAGGAAAUUGAGUGCAGAGCGGGGCAAGUACAGCUCCAUGAGCAAUGAGUGGGAUUUCCAACCGCUCAACUCUGCUCACAUCCUCUGAAUGGGACACGUUUGAAUACAGACAAAAGCCUCUCAUUUUAAUAUGUGUCCGCAGUGGUUCUGUGUAGCCUAGUUAUGCUAUUAUAUUUGAGACCAGUGUAUUGCAGUGAAUUUCAUCUGACUUAAUAAGUAAAAUAUCUUUGCGUAGUAAACAGAGUAACAAUGAGUCCCAGGCAGUUCGCAAUACCAGAGGGGGGCAUCGUUUACUAGGCUACCUAAAUUAUUGGGAUCAUCUGGGUUACCACCAGUGUUUGGAAUACAUUGAGCUCGUCAACAAAACAGACCAUGGGACGCCUACCGAGAUUACAGGAAAAAACUAUGGGAUGAAGGGGUCAGGCCUGACUAACAAAGAAGACAGGAGGAUGGAUCAAGAGGACCAAGACAACCAAGAGGAUCAACAUGGACAUUCCACAGUGGAGAUAAGGAAAACUAAGAGUGCACCGUUAAAAAAUGUGGGGUCACUUAGAAAUGUCCUUGUUUUGGAAAAAAAAGCACAUUUUCUGUCCAUUAAAAUAACAUCAAAUUGAUCAGAAAUACAGUGUAGACAUUGUUAAUGUUGUAAAUGACUAUUGUAGCUGGAAAUGGCAGAUUUUUUUAAUGUAAUAUCUACAUAGGCGUACAGAGGCCCAUUAUCAGCAACCAUCACUCCUGUGUUCCAAUGGCACAUUUUGUUAGUUAAUCCAAGUUGAUCAUUUAGCACUUUGUGACAUCAGCUGAUGUAAGAAGGGCUUUAUAAAUACAUUUGAUUGACUGACUAGUUGAGUAUCUGGAGCAUCAGCAUUUGUGGAUUUGAGUAUAGGCUCAAAAUGGCCAGAGUUUCUUCUGAAACUCGUCAGUCUAUUCUUGUUCUGAGAAAUGAAGGCUAUUCAAUGCAAGAAAUUGCCAAGAAACUGAAGAUCUCGUACAACGCUGUGUACUACUCCCUUCACAAGACAGCGCAAACUGUCUCUAACCAGAAAGAGGAGUGGGAGGCCCCGGUGCACAACUGAGCAAGAGGACAAGUACAUUAGAGUGUCUAGUUUGAGAAACCGACGCCUCACAAGUCCUCAACUGGCAACUUCAUUAAAUAGUACCUGCAAAACACCAGUCUCAACGUCAACAGUGAAGAGACGUCUCCGGGAUGCUGGCCUUCUAGGCAGAGUUUCAAAGAAAAGCCAGUGGAUGGUACAUGUUUUGUUUUUGGGCUAAAUGUAUAAAUUAUGAUUUGCCUCUGAACUGUAUGUGAACCCCUCUGCAAUCUACUGGCACUAACCAAUAAAAACUAGGACUUCAA